rnacentral:lncRNA from 1 species
CUUAAAUGUUAUUUCUACAGAUCAAGGUCCUCCAUCUCCAUGAUUUAAUAAAGAAAAUAAAUACAGUUAUCAAUUUCAGUUGGAGAGAACCGAGUGGCAUGCAGGUGAUAGAAAGAGGAGAAGUAUGGUAUGUAACGAGGGAAAAUGAAAAAGGGAGAAAAAGCAAGUUGUUAGUAAGAAGACAGCAAUUAAUCAAGGAGUCGCUCUCUAGUCUCCAAGAGGACAAGAUGUGGCUGAGAGCCACUCCAGAGGUCGAUUGUUCGCUAGGCUUCCAACAAGUAAGUCGCUAAUUUUGAGAGAGUGUUGCAAAUACAAGAUAGUCGGUCUAGUUCUUCCAACUCAGUCGGAUGCAAACCUCCAAAAGAAAAGAUCAUUCUCCAGACAUCAAAAGGUCGGCUGCAAGAUCACUGACGCGAAGAACAAGAUGUGGCCCAAUCAAAUCCCAUCCUCGAUAGAAGAAAUUAUAUUAAAUCAGUGACAGACAAACCGUAUUGAAACUGCACCUGGGCAUUUGGUUUUUGACCAAUAAGUCAUUGAUAGAAGAAAUAGCAAAAGUGUGGUGUUGGACUAAAGACUGAUCCAUUGAACUUAAAGACUGUGCACAUAUACAUAUUUGAUUUACUGCUGAGGGAAAAUUAUUCAUAUCUCAAUGUUAUACAUAUAUAAGAUAUUUAUCCUCUGAUGGUGUAUUGUAAGAAAACAAAUUCAUCUCUCUCAAAAAAGAUCUAAGGUUUGCCAAAAGCUGUAUAGUGUCUGUCCCUCUCCUUCCCGUUGUGUUGGUCUGCUCCUCACUUCACCAUUCUUACCAUAUGUGCCAAACCACAUAAUAGCAGUAUGCUAACACCUGUUCUACCUGAUGUAGAACAGGUAU